UACAGAGGGUGCAAGCGUUGUUCGGAUUUACUGGGCGUAAAGGGCGCGUAGGCGGCCACCGCAAGUCGGUUGUGAAAUCUCUGGGCUUAACCCAGAAAGGUCAACCGAUACUGCGGGGCUAGAGUGCAGAAGGGGCAACUGGAAUUCUCGGUGUAGCGGUGAAAUGCGUAGAUAUCGAGAGGAACACCUGCGGCGAAGGCGGGUUGCUGGGCUGACACUGACGCUGAAGCGCGAAAGCUAGGGGAGCGAACGGG
rnacentral:rRNA from 1 species